rnacentral:misc_RNA from 1 species
GUGUAUUUUGCGUGCAUCAGCAUCCGCUCAGUCAGUCUCACGCUGUCGGAACACAUGUUGGGACAAAUAGCUGCCGUGGUACGUCGUACCGGCGUUCAAUAAUGAUCCUUCCGCAGGUUCACCUACGGAAA